UUUACUUUAUUUUAUCUUUUAUAGAGUUUCAUCCUAAGCUGUUAGGACUAACAGGAACAAAUGAAGAGGUACAUACAGCAGCUAAAGCUUAUCGAGUCUAUUACAGUCCAGCACCUGUUGAUGAUGAUAAUGAUUAUUUAGUUGAUCACACUAUUAUAAUAUACCUCAUCAAUUCAGAGGGAGACUUUGUAGACUAUUACUGUCAAAACAAGACAGCAGAUCAAGUACACGCUGGCAUUAGCAAUCAAAUGCUUAAGUAUAAACACAGGAAGUGAUGAGAAGACACUAAAACAAUACAUGCACACAAUCAUCAAUUGACUUUCAUAUAAUACCAUUUAAUAAUAAUACUAAUUUUAAUGUAAAAGGAAUUUAUUUCACACA